rnacentral:miRNA from 1 species
UAGAAGAUAAGAUUGUGGCCAG